CGUCAAAGCCCCCCUUUGGCAUUUUCUUGCAGAUUCCUGCUCACACAUUUUCUGCUGCCUGACCCAGGACCCAGACGUCCCAUCUGCAGAUAGGCGAUUUCGGAGGACAGGAACAGGACAGGACACGCACCCUCUUGCACCACACAGCAGCACCGCCGCCACCACCACAGACAUGUCGGACUCUGAAGCCGCCGCCGCCCCCGCCGAGGCCCCCGUCCCCGCUGCUUGUGCCAGCAUCAAGGCUGACCUGGACAAAUGUGUGGCGGAGAAGGGAGCCGAGGGCUGCAAAGAUCUGAUGGAGGCCUUCGCUGCUUGUGUGAAGAGCGCCGCUGAGGGGACGUCAUGAGGAGUCGCCCUCCAGCCUCAAAUGUCCACUGCACUGAGUCCUCCAAGUUCCCAGCAUUCCCUUCUGCACAACAGCACUGGACUGAACGAUGACAACAACAACGACGACGAC